GAGUUAGGUUUUGAUUUUCCAAAAACCAAAACAAUUCCUCCCGAAAACCCCUCUUCGCUCUUCUCCCUCGCGACGGCGCAACCUCGGCGGAAAACCUAGAGACAGCUAGGUCUUGAGAUCCCGGCGCCGGCGAAGCUUCCCUCCGGCUAGUCUUCAUCCACGGUGGUUGUCUCGAAGAAGAGAAGCUCGGGAACACAAAGGGUUGCCGAGAGGAUCCGCCCGAACCCUAAAAAGUUUCCCCUUUCCUUCUUCUCGGUAGUAAGUGCAAGAAGCUCUAGAUAAAGGAAAAGCUAAAGUAUAAGGAAGAAGGCGACAAGGAGAUGCUGUGACGAUAAAGGAAAGGAAAAGAUUUAGCAAGGAAGGCGACAAGGUGGUGCGGAUGGUGUGUGAUGCCAGAACUGUGGGAGAGAUCUGGGGAAUUGAGUCGUACUUUAUGGUUUAUAUCAUUUGAGAUUGUAUUUUAUAUUUCAUGUUUUAAUGAGUUUAUUCACGUUUUAGAUUGCAUGCUGUGAUGAGGUUCUAUGUAAUAAGUAGAUAUUAUAGUUUUUGACUCUUAUUAAA